rnacentral:RNase_P_RNA from 1 species
GUGAGAGUAAGGACGGUCGCCGGACGAUUUUCGUCUGAGGAAGGUCCCUUCUCCCACCUAGGCAACGAUGUGGCGUAGCCACAGGACGAGAGUCUUCCUCUGAGAACAGAAAUGACCCGUCCAUGCAUUAGAUGAUGAUGAUACGGCUGAGAAAUUAUUUCGAGAAGACCUUUGGCGACGAGGGUUGAGAUAAACCGUUGAAGAGAUGUAUGGAACCGUUGAAACAGCUCAUGAUCGUGGGAGCAAACCCAAAUAUAUUCCUGAUGAGGAGCCUAGCCGAAUAGAAUGGGUAGGGUGCACAGACCGAUACCGUCAAGGAUUCUUCAAGCAAUUGAAAUUCCUGAACAGAAAAGGGCCUACUCUACUCACAC